UUCCUCAUGACCAUGCUAGUGUCUCCAUCCUGGGAUGAGCCACAGCUUCAUCACCAUAACAUGCAACCUAUGUGCUGGUGUGAUGACUCGCUGUGUCUGCACCACUGAGGCCCCUCCUCCACUUGCCAUGACGCGUCCUCUCUUUUCUCCAUCUCCCCAUGAAGUCCUCCUGUCACUUUCCCUCAGGGAGACAUUGCUUUGGAGAAUACUCCCAACAGCAUGCUUAUUUGUGCCAAGUAAUAAAACUCCUGUUGAUCAAACCUACAGUCUCAAGGAGAUUGAUUUCUUACUUCCCAAGCAAAAGAACCUGGGUUAUUUUUUGGUGGGGGGGUGGUAAAAAUAGUGUCUAAUCCACAUGUGCAAUUAGCAUGUUCCAGUAGACUUACACCAUCAAAAAGAUACUCUUUCUUCUGUCCUGCAGAGUGCCUUCUCCUCUGUCCUGCCAUGGGUGAGGCUGCCUGGACUUAGGGGAGGCACUACCUUCCCUUUUCUUUUGGUAAAUGUGCUCACUUUUCCUUCCAAACAAUGGGUGGUGAGCCUGAAGGAAAUGCCUCCAGAAAAGCUUACUGCUGUGCUACAACACCUUGUCUGUGUUUUAAAGGGCCACAGUGGAUGCCCUCCCAGUCCACAUUUGACUUCUCCCAUGUAUACUUUUCUUUUGAGAUAUGUUUAUGACUUAUUUGCGAGUUAUUAGAAAUAACACAACUGUUAGAAAUAACACAGUUUCUUAAAAAUAUCUGUUUGUGUUAAGUUUCCAGAACUCUGUGACCGUGUUCAAGAGAAGACUGUCAGUAACGAUAGCUACAAACCACACUCUAUUUUCCGAGAUCUUUCUGUUAUGACAGACUUGCUGUCUAAAGCCCUGCUUGGCCCAUAGUGUUACUGGAAGGAGGUCCUGAUCCAGAUCCUAAGAGAGGGUUCUUGGAUCUCACUCAAGAAAGAAUUCAAAGCAAAUCAAUAGUGUAAAGUAAAAGCAAG
rnacentral:lncRNA from 1 species